CACUUUAUUAGGUACACCUGUUCAACUGCUCGUUAACGCAAAUAUAUAAUCAGCCAAUCACGUGGCAGCAACUCAAUGCAUUUAGGCAUGUAGGCAUGGUCAAGACGAUCUGCUGAAGUUCAAACCAAGCAUCAGAAUGGGGAAGAAAUGUGAUUUAAGUGACUUGCCACCAACGUGGCAUGGUUGUUGGUGCCAGACGGGCUGGUUUGAGUAUAUCAGAAACUGCUGAUCUACUGGGAUUUCCACGCACAACCAGGGUUUACAGAGAAUGGUCCGAAAAAAUAUCCAGUGAGCGGAAGUUCUCUGGGCGAUAAUGUCUUGUUGAUGGCAGAGGCCAGAGGAGAAUGGCGAGACUGGUUCAAGCUGACAGAAAGGCAACAGUAACUAAAAUAACCACUCGUUACAACCGAGGUAUGCAGAAGAGCAUUUCUGAACGCACCUUAAAGCAGAUGGGCUGCAGCAGAAGACCAACCCGGUAUUAGCAAGGUGUACCUAAUAAAGUGGCCGAAGCACCACCAAACGGCUUCUGACCCAACGCGGCUUGUCAGACAUUGUGAGCCCGGCGCCAGUUGGAUUCACACGGCCCGGAGCCGGAACACAAUCACCCAAACACGGCUGUCUCCGGCCAGAUCAUUUCACGCCUGACAGCCCUGAUGACUCUACCUGCCACAGAGAUAAUAUUUGAGCUUGAUGUCAGAGAUACCCCACAUGAGUGCACCUUCAUUGAUGAGGCAGGAUUUAACCUCACCAAAUGGAGGAGAAGAGGGUGGAAAAUUAUUGUCCCCUGGGCCAUUGUGGAUGUCUCUGGCCAGCAUGGAGGCGAUGUCACAAUGUGUACUGCCAACAGCCACCCUUGGUUCCUCCACCGCAAUGCCAACCUUGGCUUGGAUAACACAGCACAUCUGCUUGCUUUCCUCAGUGGUAUUUGGGUUCAUAUUUCCACAAGCACAGAGGGAACCAUAGCAGCCAGAGCAGUCAUGCUACAUUGUUGUUUGGGCAAUGUCAGUCUCCAUCGUGCUCUGUGGUGUGCAACUGGUUUACUGACAAUCUGAGAUUCUCUAAUCUGCGUCUUUCACUGUGUUCUCCAUUCCUAAACUCCAUAGGUCAGUUUUUGUUGUAUGACCAAUGUCUGAGAUGGAAAACCUUCUUCAGGCUAUGAGGGCGGCUUCUCAGGAAAUAGCUUUGGAGUCCUGCCAGGGGUGGAUGAGGCAUACCAGGUGGUAUUUCCCCCUCUGCCAGGCCAGGGAUGACAUAGCCUGUGAUGUGGACAAAAUAUCUGGCUUGACUUAACCCAGAGACAGGAUGCUGAGGCAAUGUGAAUAUGGCCUUUUUCUUUAACAACAAUGUUUAUGUUUCCCUUAUUUUAGUUGAACAACUUGAAUCAUUU